CUUCCGGGUUGGGNNACCUGCGGAAGGAUCAUUAGUGAAUAUAGGACGUCCAACUUAACUUGGAGUCCGAACUCUCACUUUCUAACCCUGUGCACUUGUUUGGGAUAGUAACUCUCGCAAGAGAGCGAACUCCUAUUCACUUAUAAACACAAAGUCUAUGAAUGUAUUAAAUUUUAUAACAAAAUAAAACUUUCAACAACGGAUCUCUUGGCUCUCGCAUCGAUGAAGAACGCAGCGAAAUGCGAUAAGUAAUGUGAAUUGCAGAAUUCAGUGAAUCAUCGAAUCUUUGAACGCACCUUGCGCUCCAUGGUAUUCCGUGGAGCAUGCCUGUUUGAGUGUCAUGAAUACUUCAACCCUCCUCUUUCUUAAUGAUUGAAGAGGUGUUUGGUUUCUGAGCGCUGCUGGCCUUUACGGUCUAGCUCGUUCGUAAUGCAUUAGCAUCCGCAAUCGAACUUCGGAUUGACUUGGCGUAAUAGACUAUUCGCUGAGGAAUUCUAGUCUUCGGACUAGAGCCGGGUUGGGUUAAAGGAAGCUUCUAAUCAGAAUGUCUACAUUUUAAGAUUAGAUCUCAAAUCAGGUAGGACUACCCGCUGAACUUAAGCAUAUCAAAAG
rnacentral:rRNA from 1 species